AUUGAACGCUGGCGGCAGGCCUAACACAUGCAAGUCGAACGAGUGGCGGACGGGUGAGUAACGUCUGGGAAACUGCCCGAUGGAGGGGGAUAACUAUUGGAAACGGUAGCUAAUACCGCAUAUCAUCGGAUGUGCCCAGAUGGGAUUAGCUAGUUGGUGGGGUAACGGCUCACCUAGGCGACGAUCCCUAGCUGGUCUGAGAGGAUGACCAGCCACACUUGAACUGAGCCACGGUCCAGACUCCUACGGGAGGCAUCAGUGGGGAAUAUUGCACAAUGGGCGCAAGCCUUAUGCAGCCAUGCCGCGUUUAUGAAGAAGGCCUUCGGUUUGUAAAGUACUUUCAGCGAGGAGGCGUUACUCGCAGAAGAAGCACCGGCUAACUCCGUGCCAGCAGCCGCGGUAAUUC
rnacentral:rRNA from 1 species